rnacentral:rRNA from 1 species
AUUGAACGCUGGCGGCGGGCCUAACACAUGCAAGUCGAACGAGUGGCGGACGGGUGAGUAAUGUCUGGGACACUGCCUGAUGGAGGGGGAUAACUACGGGAAACGGUAGCUAAUACCACAUACCAUCGGAUGUUCCCAGAUGGGAUUAGCUACUAGGUGGGGUAAAGGCUCACCUAGGCGACGAUCCCUAGCGGGUCUGAGAGGAUGACCAGCCACACUGGAACUGAGACACGGUCCAGACUCCUACGGGAGGCAGCAGUGGGGAAUAUUGCACAAUGGGCGCAAGCCUGAUGCAGCCAUGCCGCGUGUAUGAAGAAGGCCUUCGGGUUGUAAAGUACUUUCAGUGGGGAGGCGUUACCCGCAGAAGAAGCACCGGCUAACUCCGUGCCAGCAGCCGCGGUAAUAC